rnacentral:lncRNA from 10 species
AAUCUUGUUUGUCGGUGCUUCCGGAAGAGCGUAUUUAAUCUUUCUAUAAAUAUUUAAUGAUUCUCUGCUACGCGCCUGGAGCUGCUAUAAAUGCUGAAAAAACAGCAGUGAACAAAACAGAUAAAAAUUCUUGUCCUUGUGGGGUUGAGAUUCUAGUGGAACAAGACAGAUACUAAAACCAACAGGAGCCGGCGCCGUGGCUCGCGCCUGGAAUGUCAGGUACUCCCGACGCUGAGACGGGAGGAUCACGUGAGCCCAGGAGUUGGACACCAGCCCUGGGCAACAUAGCGAAACUCUUGUCUCUACAAAAAAUUUAAAAACUAGCCAGACUUUGGCCCGGCGCGGUGGGUCACGCGUGUAAUCCCAGCACUUUGGGAGGCCGAGGCGGGCGGAUCGCCUGAGGUCAGGAGUUCGAGAUACGCCCGGCCAACCUGGUGAAACCCGGUCUCUACUAAAAAUACAAAAGUUAGCUGGGCGUGGUGGCGGGCCCCUGUAAUCCCAGCUACUCGGGAGGCUGAAGCAGGAGAAUGGCUUGAACCCGGGAGGCGGAGGUUGCGGUGAGCCGAGAUCGCACCAUUGCACUCCAACCUGGGCGACAGAGCGAGACUCCGUAUCAAAAAAAAAAAAAAAAAUUGGACGUGAUAGCGCCCACCUGUGGUCUCAGCUAGCUACUCAGGAGACUGAGAUGGGAGGAUCGCUUGAACCCAGGAGGUCGUGGCUAUAGUGAGUCGUGAUCGCACCACUGCACUCCAGGCUGGGUGACAGAGUGGUACCCUGUCUCAAAAAAAUGAUGUUUUUCAGACUGAACCUAUCCAGAAUUGUGAUUCAUGACUCACCAGAUCCUGUGGCCCCCCUAUCCAGGGGUGCACUCAGCACAUGAGGACGCCUGUGAUUCUGCCCCUAUGAGUUCAUCCCCAACCAGUCAGCAAUACCCAUUCCUUAACCCCCUGCCUGGCAAACUGUCUGGGAGACUGAUUUGAGUGAUAACUCCAAUUCUCUUGUGUGGGCCAGCCACAUAUCAAUAAAACUCUUUCUCUACUGCAAUGCCAUGGUCUCAGUGGAUUGAUUUUGUCUGUACACUGGGGCAGGAAGAACCCAUCAGGG